CUUCAGCGAGCCCAGCCAGAGCGGCCUGCCGCCGGUGCGCUCCUGUCCGUACGUCGCGAUGAGGGACCGCGCCUC
rnacentral:antisense_RNA from 1 species